UUUUAAUUAGGACUGCAGUCGUUUCCAAAGGAAGCGGCGGGAGGCAGGGAAGCAGGCUGGCUUUCCACAGUUUAAGUGGAUGGGAUGCACACAGCACAUUCAGACCCCACUGUGGGCGGCCAGGCUGAGCGCCCUGUCCUCGAGCGCCCUGGGCUCCUCGCUGCGGUCUGCAAGCUCCCACCUCCGUGGACCAGUUAACCGGGAUUGCUCGGUCCCCUCUGUAUCCUGGUGCUGAAAUGAUGCCCAGACAGCUGAGCGGGCCUGUGGGCUCCUGCACCCACCUGAUGGUGCCUCUGCCCCACGCGAAGCACAUUUUUAAGGAGUGUCUGCUGAUCGGGAUGGGAGGAGGCUCAGGGCUGAUGGUGGUCACAGAGGCGGGCUGGCAGCUCCCACGCUCCACUCGGCCCAACGCCCAGCUUGGGAGGCAGCUGGGAUGAGCUGACGCAGAGAAAGCGACUUUCAAAAUGGGCCCUGCAGGGGUGAGGGUGCUCUCGGCAAGAACAUCACCCAGGCUCCCCACCCCCAAGCUGGCUUUGAUCUGUGGUUCUGGGUCAAUAAAUGAGCACCAUCCUGCUUCAUCAGGGUAAUGAGCAUGGCCCGGACCGCCGACACAUCCCCAAACAUUGAGCUUUGUUUUGACCACUAGCCUUGACCUUGGCACUCUGACCUCCCUCCCACAUUUUCCAUCAAACCAUAAGGUCACCCAUUCCCUCCAUGAGGGCUUUUGAAGACAUGAGACAUCUUGACUUCUAUUUCCCCGACACCCGUCUCUCUGCCAGACCCAGAGGGCUCGCAGGAGGCUGUACUGUCCACAACCCGGCCUUCCGCGUCGCUGCCGAACAUCCGAAGAAGGACAGAAAGGCGAUGCACGUCUGUCUCUCGCCCCAGCCAGCUGGAGGUGCUCUGUGAUGACAGUCCUGGCAGACUAAUUCAUCAGUUACCAACGUGAAGUGAACUGGUUUGCAAAACACCUGAAAAUUCAACAACUGGCUCUUUAAGGACCGGGGACAAGGAAACCUCAUCCUGCUUACUACCGCACUGCAGGUGCAAGUCCCCGGCCUGCCCUUCUCUCCUCUCCUGAGCCCAGCUCUUGUGGAUGAAGAUCUAAAGAGAAAUCUGGAUGCAGGCACUCUGACAGGAGUCUGUCCGUCCCAGCUGGUGAGGAGAGUGGGCCUCAGAGUCCCAAGGAAGGGGGGCCUCCCUGUGGGAACUGAUGCCGCAGGAAGGGGAAAGGAAGCAAAGCCAAAGUCCCCUGAUGUUGGGCAUCCGGUUGGAGAAUCGAGGAGGUGCCAGUUGAGGCUCUGCCAGCCGUGCUCCCGCCACGCACCGCACCGUACCGUCCCGGCGUCGGUUUAACCAGCCACCUGCCCGCAGGAGGACAUCAGGCCCCUGGGAAACACGAGCCGGGUUGUCACCUUCGUGUCCCCAGGACUCUGCCAUGGCACGCAGGGCCAGGUGUCCGGUGAGAGUCCCAGCACACCCGCACGCUGGCGGAGCUACAGAGGUCACGGGUGCGGGCUCAAAGGCGACACGAGGCGGCUUUUACGUGAAGCAGCACUGCUGCACGGGCAUCGCGUGGCCACCCACGUGACUCUUCUCCGCAAGGGCCGCUACUCAUCUGAAAGGGAGCGAUCUCACCAUUUGUUCAGAAACGGUGCACUUCAGAGGGACAUGCUGGGCUGUUUCCAGAACUUGUUUAAACAGACGCGAGAUGGUCGUUAGGGUCCCUGUACUGUGAAUAACCUCAGUGUCCGUCCUGGCCACCCAGCCUAUGCGUGAUGAGGACGAAGAGUGGGAGAACACACUCUGUGUGGGUGGGUGUGUGCGUGUGCUCGUGUACGCGUGUGUGUGUGCACACUCACCUCUGUGGACACGUGCGUGUUUUAUGUACAGCUAGGAAGGACCAGAACAUGCUACCAGGGCAAACCUGGGGGACCUGGGUGUCCUCUUGGCGCGCACCGGAACCCUGCCUCUGCCCCUGCUAGCAGAGGGCAUAACUCACACACCAUCUGAGAGUGGGGAUCGCUCCUGCCAAAGCAGAAUGUUAGGAUGGACAUCGCAGGCACGGGAGGACCCGGGGGUGCUGGACUCAGCCGCGAGCCCCAUUCAAAAUACUUCAGGAAAGUCUCUGACUCCAUUUAAAGGGGGACGAUAUGGGCUUCCUUGGGGGCUCAGUGGUAAAGAACUCGCGUACAGUGCCAGAGCCACGGGAGAUGCGGGUUCGAUUCCUGGGCUCUGGAGGAGGGCAUGGCAACCCACUCCAGUAUUCUUGCCUGGAGAAUCCCCAUGGACAGAGGAGCCUGGCAGGCUACCACCCACAGAGUCGAAAAGAAUCAGAUACGACUGAAGCAACUGGGCACACAGGCACAUUAUGCCUUUGGAUCACACUUUACAGAAAGGUGGAUGAACAUGAUGGAGGGUGUGCCCAGGUGUGCCCUGCACCCCCUCCGCCACAGCCACCUAAACCCCCAUCUCUCUCCC
ensembl:lncRNA